GAAAAUUCGAGUAAUAGAGGUUCGAGUUAUCGAGGUUCCACUGUAUGUACUCAAAAUUUCGUUUUUUCGAUACUAACCGAUCAUCAAAAAUCAGUGGUACUUCUAGCAGCCCUAGAAACUUAAAAUUUGGGAUAAAGAUAGUGUUUAGGGUACAAAGAAAGGAAAAACUAAAAAAUCCGGAAAACCGCAUUCGCAGUCGCAUACUUUUGACACCUCCAUAUCUUUGUGUUGGAGUUACCCAAGAACCUGAAAUUUUUUUUAUCUAGAAUAGCUGAUAAAUGGAACGAAACCUCUAAAUUUCAUACUUCUAUCUUUUCCAAUUCAAAAG
rnacentral:lncRNA from 1 species